UCCCUUUCUUCCCCUACUGAUCAUCCUAGUUCUUAUGUUCCAUAGAUGAGAGAAAUCAUAUGAUAGCUGUCUUUCUCUGCUUGACUUAUUUCACUUAGCAUUAUCGAGAUACCAACAUCUUACCUCAAGUGUGCCAUAUUCUGAACUUUCCUUCCAGAAAAAGAAAUGUGUACCAAAUAUUAAUAUUUGGAGGCUCUCAAAUGAAAAAAAAAUCGCUUUGUAGUCUCUGGAAGAAAAGUGCCUUCCUUUUCACCUACAAAAACUACAGUAGAGGCAAAUCUUACUCUGGAAUUUUGUCGAGUUGCACAGACUCUACUGUGUAUACUAAAAUGUUUAUUCCAUGACACCACACAGAUAAAGAUUGUGUAUACACACGUGUAUCACAAACUGCCAUAUGGGCACAAAAAACUCGAUCUUCUCUCCCCACUUUGCUUCGGAAGAAUCAUUUCCCAAUCAAAGCAACUGUGCAACAAGCAGCACACUAGGCUCUCAGGACAAAUGCUGAAGAAUGUGGAGGCUCACAGACGCUUCGGAGAGCUACUCGCACUCCGCGGGGCUGUUUCACUGGAGAGCGCAAGGUGCCUUGCCCGGGGUCUCACGGGAAGGUGAUGGCAGAUCCUACACCGGGACGAGGUCUCCCAGCACCUCCCACAGUGGCACCUGGACCACCCAGGAGCCUUGGACCCUCUCCCAUGGGAGAAGUGACCACAACAUUCCACAAGGAGGUGAGGCAGCGGGACAUAAAUACACCAACAGCAUGCCAGCCCCGGGCUCUGCGAGACGACACUCAUCUGAACACGCUUCAGCACGAUCCCCCCCUUGGAAAGGACUUGAAUCGCACUUCCAAAUACAGCUCUGCAGGAAGAACCACAGAAACCGGCCACUGUCAGCGAUGGGCCUGCUUGGCCUCUCCCUUCAGCCCUGCCUGCAAGCCUUUUGCGUAUCAGGCUCCAAACAACUUGAAAACAUCACUUUGAUGAGGCGCCCCAGGACUCUCCCCGCUCCUAGCAGGCCUGGGGCAAGUGAGCCCGAGACAGCCAUGCUCUCCCGCGCCGGCGCCCACAGUGUGGGGACCCACUACCAAACAGGCUUCUGCACUCUGUCCGCAGUCCCCUAUCUCCCCCAGGUCUUCCUGCAGGGAUUCCCGGACUGCCAUCACUCCCAGCACGUAGAUACCUGUCUUGAGAUAAUGAUCAUUAAUUAAAACAGCAACAGUGAGCCUGUAUGCACAUGGUACUUACACUCUGCCAGGUGCUGGGCUAACAUACAUCUCCUCAUUUGAUCUUCCUAGACCCUCUAUCAGUAAAUCAUAGCCUCAUCUUUUUCUUUUUUUUAAGAUUUAUUUAUUUAUUGGAGAGAGAAAGAGAGAGAGUGGCAUGCAAGAAUGAGUUGGGGGAGGGGCAGAGGGAGAGACUCCGCAAGCAGACUCUGCCCUGAGUGCAGAGCCUGAUGUGGGGUUUG
rnacentral:lncRNA from 1 species